GAGAGAGAGAGAGAGAGGGGAAAGCAAGGCAGAGAAAUAAAGAGUUAUGAUGGUAAGUUUUCUUUUGUGUUUUUUUUGGGAAGUGUGGGAAUAGAGGAAUAAUAAUGGGAGAUGAGAGGAGAGGUGAUGAUGGUUCUAAAUUCUCUCAUUUAUGGCAAAAGGAAGUGGAGGUGGCUAGGUGGGGAGGCCUGGCCUACUGCUUCCACUCCUUUCUCUCCUUCGAACACUAACCAGUGUCCAGUGCGUGCGUACUAUUGAAUCCACUUUUCCUGAGUAUGAUUCGAUUUCUCAUAACUAGUCUUUCGCCUUCUUCCAUGUGGAGUCCAAAGCUUUGGACUUUUUUGCUCCAUUUUCUUUUCUUUAACUUCUGCCUUACUUGUCU
rnacentral:misc_RNA from 1 species